rnacentral:rRNA from 1 species
ACAAUGCGGGACUAUCAGUCUUGCAAUUGGAUUGAGAACAAUGUACAACUCUUAUCGAUAAGCCAUUGGAGGGCAAGUCUGGUGCCAGCAGCCGCGGUAAUUCCAGCUCCAAUAGCGUAUAUUAACGUUGUUGCAGUUAAAAAGCUCGUAGUUGAAGUGUGGGUGAUCGCUGUUGUGAGACUUCGGUCUCUCGACAGUAAGUCACCCCCUUCCAGUAUCCAGUAGUGGGUAUUCAGUUACUUACUAUUGUGUGUUGGUCGUUUACUGUGAGAAAAUUAGAGUGUUCAAAGCAGGCGUUUGCUUGAAUAGAUUAGCAUGGAAUAAUAAUUGAAGGCUUUCGUGUUCGAUUUGAUUGGUUUGUUCAUGGAAGCAAGGUUAAAAGGAACAGUUGGGGGUAUUCAUAUUCACUAGUUAGAGGUGAAAUUCUCGGAUUUAUGGAAGAUGAACAA